ensembl:lncRNA
AUGUCCUCUGUGGUGGGAAGUGCAGAGAGGAAGGAGAAGUGUUUGUUGCAGUUUUGCCAUCAUUUGUUUGCUUUGACUCCAGAAUCAGCAGGUGCCCACAGAAGGGGUUGGAACUGAGUGAUCUUUAAGUACCCUUCCAACUCAACAGUCCUAUGGUUCUCUGGUCUUUGCGGUCUCUUCCAACCCAGUCUUCCUAUGAUUCUGUAGCCUUUAAGAUCCUUUCCAACCCAACCAUCUUAUAGUUCCAUGAUCUUUGAGGUCCUUUCGAACCCAACCAUUCUGAGGUUCUAUGAUUUUUCAGGACUCUUCCUACCCAAACCAUUUUAUGGUGCUUUGAUUCUAAAAGACAGAAAUGCCACCUUCUUGUCCCUGGCUGUAAGCUGAUAUAAGGAAACUCUUAAAACCCACUGCUUUGAAUAAACCAUAUGGUCACGGGAGCAGCCGGCCACAUCCAUUGCUUUCCUUGCUUUUACAUCCCCAGGAUACUCUGCUCAUUUUUCUUUGCCUGCCCCCCCCAAGCAAAAAGCCUUCUCUCCCUCAGGGUGGUGUGGACCAGCAGGAAAAUAAAUGAUCUUCAAGGUCCCUUCCAACCCAACCGUUCUAUGAUUCUAUGAAAGCAGGAAGAGGUUUUUCCUUUCUGCUUUCCCUGCUGCCUUGCAGGAAGAUGCUGUUGAGCAGGGAUGGUACCCAUGUGCUCCUCACAUUCUGGGAGCCAUUGGACUGUGGCCUCACCCCAGAGACAGAGUCUUUUGGGUGGCCGUGGAGUCUGGGAGGAAAGGGAACCCAGAAAGAAUCCCAAUGAGUUGUUCUGUCCCCAUGUGAAGUGGCUCCAGGCUCUUGGAGCUGCUACCGUUGCCUCAUCCCAUUCGCUGUCCCGUCCGUUGGUUUGACUUUUCCAUGCAUCAGACAAACGUAGAACACUAAUAAAUGGGUGGGGGGAAAUAACCCUCUGUAAGGAUGUCGGUGGUGCAUCAGCAAACAGGGCAGAAAAUCACAGAUUUGGAUUUGCAAACUGUGCUUUGGUGGCUGGUGGUUGUAAAGGAAUGAGAAAGGGGUUUAGCUCUUAAAGGGGAAAAUAAAAUAGAGUUGGAGGAAGGAAGAGAUUCAAAGCUUGGGUUUGCCCAUUGCAUGAGAGCAGUGCAGCUCUGACCUUGGAAUUAUUCACCCUCUGCCUGCAGGAUCUCUGCUUUCUGUCUAUUUGCCUGUAUGUAUGAGCAGAAAGUCGGUCCCUACUCCAGUCCCUCCCACCAGGGACUGGGGCCAGGGGGUGGGACUGUUUUCUACAUGCACUCAGUGUCCCACAGCUGGCAUUGCUCCCUUGGAGGACCAGAAAAGUCCCAGCCCCGAAGGCAAAUGUUGUUGGUUCCUUAUGUUAAAAGCAAACCAGGCUUCCUCAGAGUACCCUGGCACAGAGUACGCAAACAUCUGGAUGUCAAAUGAUUUUUUCCCAUGUUUGCAGGCCUAGUCUUUUCUCCUUCAUUUUAUUUUUAAGUUAUUAUUUAAAAGGAAGCAGAGUUCUAAUUCGUAAUUCUUGCAAUUGCAGCUGCGGCUCCUGGCGCUGCUGCUCCAUUUACUGACCACCAACCCAUGGAUUGCUCUGUAUGAGCGGGCAUGGUGAGGCCGGGUUGGGGUUGGUGAUCUUAGAGGUCUUUUCCAACCGUAAUGACUCCAUGAUUUGGGGAGGAUUUGAUGUUUCCAUGUAGGGGGCGGGGAGCAUCCCAGAGGCAUCCCUGGAAUCAGCGUGGGAUUAAAAUCACUUCCUUGCAACGCGCCAUGUUGGUUCGGUUGGCAGCAAACUCCAUUCCCCCAAUGCAGGAUGGGUGCUGGGGGUCAUCCUCAUCUCUGGUGCCUUAAAACAGCUCCUGGGGCCAUGCAUAAGGGCAGCUCUGUUACAUUAGGGGGCUUUGGAAGCACUGGGGGUGCGAGGAGGAGGAGGAGGAGGAGGAGGAGGAGGAAGAGGAAGAUGAAGGCUCGCCACCAGCAAUGCGAAAAGCAAAGCUCCCCCCUCCCAUAGGAUAAAAUAAAAAGAAUCCCAAAUGAAUCCUAUGGAGAGCCCUGUGUAAAGAAGGGUGGGAGGAAAGAGGAAAGUAAGAGGGUAAUAAGUUUGGUGCUGGCACUUCUGUUUUCUCCCGGUAUAUUCUCCCCUCUGCCAUUCUACAUGUAGAAAUAGAGAAAUUAUUUUUGUUCCGGAGAUACUGAAAUGAAUUUAUUUUUGUUGCAAGAGAUGAUCUAGUUUGGAAACGCUCAGUGUUGUAAAUAAAACGGGGAGGAAAAGAAAACAUCCGACCAAAUCUGUGUUGUCUCCCGGUUCCGCAUUUUAAUUCAUGUAUUUUUAAAGGAUUUGAUUUGUUUAGGGCUCAUUCUGUGAAACCCAAAUGCCAUCACUCUGUGUCGCUGUCUCGUAGUUCCUGUCUCAAAUUGUUGCUGCUAUUGACCUGUUCCACCAUCCCAGCCCCAUCUGCUGUGGGUUUUCUCUGUCGUUCACUGACCAGGAUGGGAAAAUAACCCAAUAAAAUCUGUUUGUGUCUC